ACAGAUAUAAAUAGAAUAAGCACAAUAUCAAAAAGGAGGGAGAGAACUGAAACUGCCUUAAAUGUGGAUGAAAUUGCAUGAAUAGUAAAAACUGAAAUUGUGGGCAAAUCUAAAUGUAGUGCAUAUUUCUAAGCAAACUAAUAAGAAUAUAAAAGAAAUAAGAAUAUAAAGAGAUUAAAAACUUGAAUAGAAACAACCAUCAAAAUAAAAAAAAUAACAACUUAGUUCAAAAUAAAAAUAAAAUAAAGCAGUCGCACCAAUAAAAAUAAAAUAAAAAACAAAAAACAAAAAUAAACAAAAAUAAAAUAAAAUAAAAAAUACAAUUUG
rnacentral:lncRNA from 1 species